UACAGAGGUCCCAAGCGUUGUUCGGAUUCACUGGGCGUAAAGGGUGCGUAGGUGGUGAGGUAAGUCGGAUGUGAAAUCUCGGAGCUCAACUCCGAAAUGGCAUUGGAAACUACCUCGCUCGAGGAUUGGAGGGGGGACUGGAAUACUUGGUGUAGCAGUGAAAUGCGUAGAUAUCAAGUGGAACACCAGUGGCGAAGGCGAGUCCCUGGACAAUUCCUGACACUGAGGCACGAAGGUCAGGGGAGCAAACGGG
rnacentral:rRNA from 1 species